GUCUAUUUGGAGACAUCUAAUAAAAUUGGAACGAUACAAAGAAAAUUAGCAUGCAUGGCCCUUGUGCAAGGAUGACACUCACAAAUCAAGAAAUGGUCCAAAUGUUU
rfam:Picea glauca, whole genome shotgun sequence.